rnacentral:sRNA from 1 species
UUUUAGCCCGGAUGGAAACGGAAAUCCCGAAGUUAUAAUUGUGCGUUUUUUUUUGGAUACAAGAGCGACCAGCGGAAGCUCCUUUUAUGCCUUUAAAAAACUACAAGUAUAAGGAGGAGUUGCAGUGUACAGCCGGAUUGGCU